rnacentral:rRNA from 1 species
UACGGAGGGGGCUAGCGUUUUUCGGAAUUACUGGGCGUAAAGCGCGCGUAGGCGGACCUGCAAGUCGGGGGUGAAAGCCCGAGGCUCAACCUCGGAACUGCCUUCGAUACUGCGGGUCUCGAGUCCGGGAGAGGUGAGUGGAAUUCCUAGUGUAGAGGUGAAAUUCGUAGAUAUUAGGAAGAACACCAGUGGCGAAGGCGGCUCACUGGCCCGGUACUGACGCUGAGGUGCGAAAGCGUGGGGAGCAAACAGG